rnacentral:rRNA from 1 species
UACGAAGGGGGCUAGCGUUGUUCGGAAUUACUGGGCGUAAAGCGCACGUAGGCGGAUCUUUAAGUCAGAGGUGAAAUCCCAAGGCUCAACCUUGGAACUGCCUUUGAUACUGGGGAUCUUGAGUCCGGAAGAGGUGAGUGGAACUGCGAGUGUAGAGGUGAAAUUCGUAGAUAUUCGCAAGAACACCAGUGGCGAAGGCGGCUCACUGGUCCGGUACUGACGCUGAGGUGCGAAAGCGUGGGGAGCAAACAGG